rnacentral:tmRNA from 1 species
GGGGGUGAUCGGUUUCGACGGCAGUCGUCGAUCCAGGAGAAGCGGGCCGAGGAUGCAGAGUCAUCUCGUUAACGCUCUUUGCAAACCAAUAGGUGCCGAUAACAACCGCACCGACUUCGCACUCGCCGCCUGAGCGAGUCCUGAAGUCCGUCAGCCCGGGCUAGCUCUCGACCCGGUUCCUGGCGUCAGCUAGAGAGCCACUGCUCAUCGUCCUCGUUGCCGGGACGGUGGGGACUUCUAGGUAACUGAGCCCGUCAGCACCUUGUCUGCGUGAGUGCUGGGGCCGAGAAAAGCAGAGCAGUCUGCGCCCGGAGAAGCCCUGGAUUUUCACUGUCGGACGCGGGUUCGAUUCCCGCCACCUCCACUG